rnacentral:rRNA from 1 species
UCAAGUCAGUAUGGCCCUUACGUCCUGGGCUGCACACGUGCUACAAUGACCAGUACAGAUGGAUGCAAUACCGCGAGGUGGAAGCAAAUCCUCAAAACUGGCCUCAGUUCAGAUUGGAGUCUGCAACUCGACUCCAUGAAGUCGGAUUCGCUAGUAACGGCGUAUCAGCUACGACGCCGUGAAUACGUUCCCGGGCCUU